GCUAGGGGGUGGGGUGAGGGGUGCUAUGGGGCCUCCCCGGGGGUCGUAUUGGGCGGGUGUGCGGGGGCGCGGCGCGUGGUUCCUGGCCCGGUGGAUCCGCGUUGGGAUUGGCUGGUCUGCUGGCUGGGUGCACCGGGCGCCGUGGGCGCGAUUCCGGGGCGGGGGUGCCCCGGGGGCGGAUCCUUGGGCUACGUGUCCGGGGAGGUGCUCUCCGGCCAUCUGCCCGGGGACCGGCCGCGGCUCGUGGCGGCGCUGCGCAGCCUUGGGCGGGGCGGGGCUGGUGGCCUUGGGCCCGCUGUUGUUCGGGGUGUGCUGGCGUCGGGGGGGUGUCUCGUGCCGGUGUGUGGGUCGUCGGGGAUUGCCUCCGUGGGGGGGGGGGGGCUCUAUUGGCGCCGUUGGUGUGGGGGGGCGGUUUCCGGGCUGGGGGUGCUUCGGUACUCUGGCUUGCCGGUCCGUGGCUGGCGGGAUGGCCCUGCUUGGCGGUGGAUGGCGUCCUCUCUCGUCGGGGGGGCCGGGGCCGCCUCCCGGUGGAGAGUGUUGUAUCGUGGCGCCGGGUGGGCCUGUGCUGCCCCUGGUGCGGGCAUGGGCCUCCCCCCUGCUCGGCCGCUCCCCUUGGUGGCGGGGUGGCGUUGCUCCGGGCCGGCGGGCGGCGGGGGUCGCCCCCUGGGGCGCCGGGGGAUGUUGUUGGUGCCUGGCUGUACCCGGGGGUGGGGGGUGUCGCCGUGCUCCGCGGGGCCGGCGCGGUCUGGGGGGUGCCGUGGGGGGGGGUCUCCGGCUGUGCUGUUCCGGGGCCCGCAGUGCCACUUGCCCGUCUGCGCCAUCUACCCUCUCGCGUGGCCCGCCACGCGGACGGGCCCGGCUCACACUGGACAGGCCUCCUACAUGUUCACUUCACCCCACUCCCAGCUGGUCUGGCUCACUCACUAAAUGCACCACACACCAAUACCCAACCCUUGGGGGGCUGGAUGGUGGGGCUGGGGGUGGAGGGGCCCGCCACCUGUGUUACUAUGUAGUGGCGUGGGGGCGGCCCUCCCACCUCUAGUUGCCCUACUAAUCCCUCCAAUUUUAAUCGCAUCUCAACAUGUCACCCCCCGGAGGGUGUAUCAUCAUUUACACCCUCCGGCCUAUUACACCACAUACACAUAAAUCCACAGAGGCUGGAGGGGGAGCACCGCUCCCCUCCAUCCCCCUUCUUUUAAUUACACCCCAUACAUUCACCAAACACACACAUUCACACAGGGGAUCGGGAAGUGCCUCUCCAUUGGGGAAUGGAGAGGCACCAUAACAGGGUGGUGGGUUGGUACACAUAUUUGGGCCUCUCCGGUGGGGGCCUGGCCCCUCUGUUGGUGGCUGGGCCACUGCAUAGAGUAAAAGCACAUCAAGAUGGUGCGGUCGGGCGUGGCGGUGGGUCUCGGGGGGGCU
rnacentral:lncRNA from 1 species